rnacentral:rRNA from 1 species
UACGUAGGGGGCAAGCGUUGUCCGGAUUUAUUGGGCGUAAAGAGCGUGUAGGCGGCCGUACAGGUCAGCUGUGAAAACUCGAGGCUCAACCUCGAGACGCCGAUGGAAACCAUCUGGCUAGAGUCCGGAAGAGGAGAGUGGAAUUCCCGGUGUAGCGGUGAAAUGCGCAGAUAUCGGGAAGAACACCCGUGGCUAAGGCGGCUCUCUAGUACGGUACUGACGCUGAGACGCGAAAGCGUGGGGAGCGAACAGG